rnacentral:tRNA from 1 species
GGCCCGUUGGUCAAGUGGUUAAGACACCGCCCUUUCACGGCGGUAACAGGGGUUCGACUCCCCUACGGGUCACCA